rnacentral:rRNA from 1 species
CCUGAGAAACCCAAAAGAUCGAAUGGGAAGAUUCAUCGUCAGCUCAUUUUGUAUAUAUAUAUGUUAUGAUAUGGGUUACUAACUUGUUAGUAUUGCUUAUACAUUCUUAUAUAUUUAAUUGCAAGAUGUUGGUCGGCGUGCACUUCUUCCUUAGUAGGACGUCGCGACCCGUUGAGGAUUUUGUCGGUUUACGGCCCAAGUGGUAUAGUCUUUAAUAUUUUAUUAUAUUAAAGUCCCUUGGUGUUUUCUAACCGACUACUCGGCGGUACACAUUUAACGGUAUUAAGCCGCAAUUAUUUGCGUUUAUUCCCGUCGCAAGCGAGGCCAAUUUCUAAUAGUANGGACUUAGUACCGUCGUUAGUAUUGGGCCAGCUGUUGGCUGUACGGUGUACUAAAACUGGCUUAUAAAUAAAAUUACCGGUCGGCGAUGCUACUGCUUUGGGUACUUUCAG